rnacentral:rRNA from 1 species
GACGAACGCUGGCGGCGUGCUUAACACAUGCAAGUCGAACGGAAAGGCCCAGCUUGCUGGGUGCUCGAGUGGCGAACGGGUGAGUAACACGUGGGUGAUCUGCCCCUAACUUCGGGAUAAGCUUGGGAAACUGGGUCUAAUACCGGAUAGGACAAUCGUUUAGUGUCUGUUGGGGAGAGUUUUUUCGGUUAGGGAUGAGCUCGCGGCCUAUCAGCUUGUUGGUUGGGUAAUGGCCUACCAAGGCGUCGACGGGUAGCCGGCCUGGGAGGGUGGACGGCCACAUUGGGACUGAGAUACGGCCCAGACUCCUACGGGAGGCAGGAGUGGGGAAUAUUGCACAAUGGGAGCAAGCCUGAUGCAGCGACGCCGCGUGGGGGAUGACGGCCUUCGGGUUGUAAACCUCAUCCGACAGGGACGAAGCUUUGGUGACGGUACCUGUAGAAGAAGCACCGGCUAACUACGUG